GCCUUGGGUGCUGCCGCUCCUUCCCUCCUCUUUUCUGGUCUCCCCCACCCCGCCUCCCCACGCUUAGCCUUUCUUCCCCGCGUGUGCGGGCCGCUCCUCCGGAGGCUGCCGCCCUGCUCCGCGGGGCGGGCUGCGGCUCUGCGGCUGCCUGGCCGGCGCACAGGUGACCACGGUACUGUCGAUGAUGCCUGUACUUUGCUCAAAUGCAGUGAAACAUAUGCAGUUGCUGAAGAGGUGGUGGCGGUGAUGUUAGUCUCUCCGAUUAUUGUUG